AAUGGGUCAGCGACUUAUAUUCUGUAGCAAGGUUAACCGAAUAGGGGAGCCGAAGGGAAACCGAGUCUUAACUGGGCGUUAAGUUGCAGGGUAUAGACCCGAAACCCGGUGAUCUAGCCAUGGGCAGGUUGAAGGUUGGGUAACACUAACUGGAGGACCGAACCGACUAAUGUUGAAAAAUUAGCGGAUGACUUGUGGCUGGGGGUGAAAGGCCAAUCAAACCGGGAGAUAGCUGGUUCUCCCCGAAAGCUAUUUAGGUAGCGCCUCGUGAACUCAUCUCCGGGGGUAGAGCACUGUUUCGGCAAGGGGGUCAUCCCGACUUACCAACCCGAUGCAAACUGCGAAUACCGGAGAAUGUUAUCACGGGAGACACACGGCGGGUGCUAACGUCCGUCGUGAAGAGGGAAACAACCCAGACCGCCAGCUAAGGUCCCAAAGUCAUGGUUAAGUGGGAAACGAUGUGGGAAGGCCCAGACAGCCAGGAUGUUGGCUUAGAAGCAGCCAUCAUUUAAAGAAAGCGUAAUAGCUCACUGGUCGAGUCGGCCUGCGCGGAAGAUGUAACGGGGCUAAACCAUGCACCGAAGCUGCGGCAGCGACGCUUAUGCGUUGUUGGGUAGGGGAGCGUUCUGUAAGCCUGUGAAGGUGUGCUGUGAGGCAUGCUGGAGGUAUCAGAAGUGCGAAUGCUGACAUAAGUAACGAUAAAGCGGGUGAAAAGCCCGCUCGCCGGAAGACCAAGGGUUCCUGUCCAACGUUAAUCGGGGCAGGGUGAGUCGACCCCUAAGGCGAGGCCGAAAGGCGUAGUCGAUGGGAAACAGGUUAAUAUUCCUGUACUUGGUGUUACUGCGAAGGGGGGACGGAGAAGGCUAUGUUGGCCGGGCGACGGUUGUCCCGGUUUAAGCGUGUAGGCUGGUUUUCCAGGCAAAUCCGGAAAAUCAAGGCUGAGGCGUGAUGACGAGGCACUACGGUGCUGAAGCAACAAAUGCCCUGCUUCCAGGAAAAGCCUCUAAGCAUCAGGUAACAUCAAAUCGUACCCCAAACCGACACAGGUGGUCAGGUAGAGAAUACCAAGGCGCUUGAGAGAACUCGGGUGAAGGAACUAGGCAAAAUGGUGCCGUAACUUCGGGAGAAGGCACGCUGAUAUGUAGGUGAAGUCCCUCGCGGAUGGAGCUGAAAUCAGUCGAAGAUACCAGCUGGCUGCAACUGUUUAUUAAAAACACAGCACUGUGCAAACACGAAAGUGGACGUAUACGGUGUGACGCCUGCCCGGUGCCGGAAGGUUAAUUGAUGGGGUCAGCGCAAGCGAAGCUCUUGAUCGAAGCCCCGGUAAACGGCGGCCGUAACUAUAACGGUCCUAAGGUAGCGAAAUUCCUUGUCGGGUAAGUUCCGACCUGCACGAAUGGCGUAAUGAUGGCCAGGCUGUCUCCACCCGAGACUCAGUGAAAUUGAACUCGCUGUGAAGAUGCAGUGUACCCGCGGCAAGACGGAAAGACCCCGUGAACCUUUACUAUAGCUUGACACUGAACAUUGAGCCUUGAUGUGUAGGAUAGGUGGGAGGCUUAGAAGUGUGGACGCCAGUCUGCAUGGAGCCGACCUUGAAAUACCACCCUUUAAUGUUUGAUGUUCUAACGUUGACCCGUAAUCCGGGUUGCGGACAGUGUCUGGUGGGUAGUUUGACUGGGGCGGUCUCCUCCUAAAGAGUAACGGAGGAGCACGAAGGUUGGCUAAUCCUGGUCGGACAUCAGGAGGUUAGUGCAAUGGCAUAAGCCAGCUUGACUGCGAGCGUGACGGCGCGAGCAGGUGCGAAAGCAGGUCAUAGUGAUCCGGUGGUUCUGAAUGGAAGGGCCAUCGCUCAACGGAUAAAAGGUACUCCGGGGAUAACAGGCUGAUACCGCCCAAGAGUUCAUAUCGACGGCGGUGUUUGGCACCUCGAUGUCGGCUCAUCACAUCCUGGGGCUGAAGUAGGUCCCAAGGGUAUGGCUGUUCGCCAUUUAAAGUGGUACGCGAGCUGGGUUUAGAACGUCGUGAGACAGUUCGGUCCCUAUCUGCCGUGGGCGCUGGAGAACUGAGGGGGGCUGCUCCUAGUACGAGAGGACCGGAGUGGACGCAUCACUGGUGUUCGGGUUGUCAUGCCAAUGGCACUGCCCGGUAGCUAAAUGCGGAAGAGAUAAGUGCUGAAAGCAUCUAAGCACGAAACUUGCCCCGAGAUGAGUUCUCCCUGACUCCUUGAGAGUCCUGAAGGAACGUUGAAGACGACGACGUUGAUAGGCCGGGUGUGUAAGCGCAGCGAUGCGUUGAGCUAACCGGUACUAAUGAACCGUGAGGCUUAAC
rnacentral:rRNA from 1 species